rnacentral:tRNA from 1 species
AGGAAAGUAAGCUAAAUUUUAAGCUAAUGGGUUCAUACCCCAUUUAUAGAGUCAUCUCUCUUUCCUA